UUUCUCCCCUGGCAGGGGAGAUACCAUGAUCACGAAGGUGGUUUUCCCAGGGCGAGCCUUAUCCAUUGCACUCUGGAUUUGCUGACCCCUGCAAUUUCCCCAAAUGUGGGAAACUCAACUGCAUAAUUUGUGGUAGUGAGUUCAUGUGACAUUUUCUUU
rnacentral:snRNA from 1 species